UACGUAGGGCGGAAGCGUUAUCCGAAAUUAUUGGGCGUAAAGAGCUCGUAGGUGGUUUGUCGCUUCUGCCUUGAAAGUCCGGGGCUCAACUCCGGAUCUGCGGUGGGUACGGGCAGACUAGAGUGAUGUAGGGGAGACUGGAAUUCCUGGUGUAGCGGUGAAAUGCGCAGAUAUCAGGAGGAACACCGAUGGCGAAGGCAGGUCUCUGGGCAUUAACUGACGCUGAGGAGCGAAAGCAUGGGGAGCGAACAGG
rnacentral:rRNA from 1 species